GUUGAACGCUGGCGGCGGGCUUAACACAUGCAAGUCGAACGAGUGGCGGACGGGUGAAUAAUGCUUGGGAAUCUCGCUUAUGGCGGGGGGUACCUACGGGAAACUGUAGCUAAUACCGCGUACCAUAGGAUGAGCCCAAGUGGGAUGAGGUAGUUGGUGGGGUAAAGGCUCACCAAGCCGACGAUCUCUAGCUGGUCUGAGAGGAUGACCGGCCACACUGGAACUGAGACACGGCCCAGACUCCUACGGGAGGCAGCAGUGGGGAAGAUUGCGCAAUGGGGGCAACCUGACGCAGCAAUGCCGCGUGAAUGAAGAAGGUCUUCGGGUUGUAAAGUUCUGUCGGUAGCGAGGCGUUAACUACAGAAGAAGCACCGGCUAACUCCGUGCCAGCAGCCGCGGUAAUUC
rnacentral:rRNA from 1 species